GACGUAGGGCGCAAGCGUUGUCCGGAUUUAUUGGGCGUAAAGAGCUCGUAGGCGGCUUGUUGCGUCGUCCGUGAAAACCCGCAGCUCAACUGCGGGCUUGCGGACGAUGCGGGCAGGCUGGAGUUCGGUAGGGGAGACUGGAAUUCCUGGUGUAGCGGUGAAAUGCGCAGAUAUCAGGAGGAACACCGGUGGCGAAGGCGGGUCUCUGGGCCGAUACUGACGCUGAGGAGCGAAAGCGUGGGGAGCGAACAGG
rnacentral:rRNA from 1 species